rnacentral:rRNA from 1 species
GAGGAAUAUUGGUCAAUGGGCGAGAGCCUGAACCAGCCAAGUCGCGUGAAGGAUGACCGUCUUAUGGAUUGUAAACUUCUUUUAUACGGGAAUAACAAGAGCCACGUGUGGCUCCCUGCAUGUACCGUAUGAAUAAGCAUCGGCUAACUCCGUGCCAGCAGCCGCGGUAAUACGGAGGAUGCGAGCGUUAUCCGGAUUUAUUGGGUUUAAAGGGUGCGUAGGCGGCCUGUUAAGUCAGCGGUGAAAUCUAGGAGCUUAACUCCUAAAUUGCCAUUGAUACUGGCGGGCUUGAGUGUAGAUGAGGUAGGCGGAAUGCGCGGUGUAGCGGUGGAAUGCAUAGAUAUCACGCAGAACUCCGAUUGCGAAGGCAGCUUACUAAGGUACAACUGACGCUGAAGCACGAAAGCGUGGGUAUCAAACAGGAUUAGAUACCCUGGUAGUCCACGCAGUAAACGAUGAUAACUGGGCGUAUGCGAUAUACAGUAUGCUCCUAAGCGAAAGCGUUAAGUUAUCCACCUGGGGAGUACGCCGGCAACGGUG